UACAGGGGGUGCAAACGUUGCUCGGAAUUAUUGGGCGUAAAGCGCGCGUAGGCGGCUACUUAAGUCGGAUGUGAAAGCCCCUGGCUCAACUGGGGAAGUGCACCCGAAACUGAGUGGCUUGAGUACUAAAGAGGGUCGCGGAAUUCCCGGUGUAGAGGUGAAAUUCGUAGAUAUCGGGAGGAACACCGGUGGCGAAGGCGGCGACCUGGGUAGAUACUGACGCUGAGGCGCGAAAGCAUGGGGAGCGAACAGG
rnacentral:rRNA from 1 species